GCUCGUCAAACAUGAUGCUUGUGCCAGCAGCACUCCAGAUGCUUGUGAGAAGAAAAAUACAGCCCCCAAGAACAUCCACGCCUUACAGGAGAUACAUGGUGACUCAAAUGUGGCUUCUCAACAACUUGCAGAUCUCAGCAUUCCAAAGCCACAGAGUAGCCCCAGCAAACCCCAGCAGCAAAUCAAAGUAGAGGAUUAUACCAACAAUCAGAAAAGCCCUUCAAGCAGCAUUGCCACUGUUACUGUCUCCAACACCUCCGAACAAUCUCAAUUGACUGUUGCUGGUGCCUCAAGUGAGGUGGACUCCAGCUCAACUAUCAAAGGGAUUCUUUUCGUGAAGGAAUACAUGAAU
rnacentral:lncRNA from 1 species